rnacentral:ncRNA from 2 species
CCUCAUCCGUUGGGGUGCUUGCUUUGCCAGGCUGAGAGGUCAAUGACCAACCCAUCGAACCUGAUCCGGUCAACACCGGCGGAGGAAACGGAUCCAAAGCAAGG